CCCCGCGUAGCCCCGUACUCCUAGGGUGGCUUACUUCGAAUUGCCUGUCAUAAAAUAUCGUGUUCCGCUUUCAUAUUAUUUUCACUGAAUGCUUUUUCUGGUUUACUGUGGAGCUAUUUCUAUAGAGAAACCUCAAAGGGUUUAGUUACCAUUUAAUUAUAAAUGUAUAACAUGGAAACAGAUCACUACCUUCAUUCAACGAUGGUUGUAUGCAAGCUCUAAGA